UACGUAGGGUGCGAGCGUAAAUCGGAAUUACUGGGCGUAAAGCGUGCGCAGGCGGCUUUGCAAGACAGAUGUGAAAUCCCCGGGCUCAACCUGGGAACUGCAUUUGUGACUGCAAGGCUAGAGUACGGCAGAGGGGGAUGGAAUUCCGCGUGUAGCAGUGAAAUGCGUAGAUAUGCGGAGGAACACCAAUGGCGAAGGCAAUCCCCUGGGCCUGUACUGACGCUCAUGCACGAAAGCGUGGGGAGCAAACAGG
rnacentral:rRNA from 1 species